rnacentral:SRP_RNA from 1 species
GCCGGGUGUGGUGGCGCGCACCUGUAGUCCCAGCUACUUGGGAGGCUGAGAGAUGGGAGGAUUGCUUGAGCUCAGGAGAUUGAGGCUGCAGUGAGCUAUAAUCACACCACUGCACUCCAGCCUGGGUGACAGAGAGAGACCCUGUCUCAC